rnacentral:rRNA from 1 species
GACGGAGGAUGCAAGUGUUAUCCGGAAUCGCUGGGCGUAAAGCGUCUGUAGGUGGUUCAAUAAGUCAACUGUUAAAUCUUGAGGCUCAACUUCAAAAUCGCAGUCGAAACUAUUGGACUCGAGUAUAGUAGGGGUAAAGGGAAUUUCCAGUGGAGCGGUGAAAUGCGUAGAGAUUGGAAAGAACACCAAUGGCGAAAGCACUUUACUGGGCUAUUACUGACACUGAGAGACGAAAGCUAGGGUAGCAAAUGG